UCUCCCCAGCUCCUUCUUCGUCGGUCCAGACUUGCGGAGAGCCAGUCAACUGAAGUGAAAACAUGCUUGAAGAAUGUGGAAACCCACACAGCUUCCAUACCGGACCAGAGGAGCCCUGGCUGGAGAGGAGCCUGGAUCCUGCUCAAGAUGGCAGCCUGGAGAAGAGGGUGGUUUGCAGUUUAUGAUGAGCAGGUUGGAGAAAGUGCAGCGGAGUUAAGUGGCUCCUGGUUGAGCCAAUCUGCACAAAGGCUGUAA